ACCCCCGGUGCUCUGUGAUGCGCUCUCGAAGAGUCGAGUUGUUUGGGAAUGCAGCUCAAAACGGGUGGUAAAUUCCAUCUAAAGCUAAAUAUUGGCGAGAGACCGAUAGCGAACAAGUACCGUGAGGGAAAGAUGAAAAGCACUUUGGAAAGAGAGUAAAACAGUACGUGAAAUUGUUGAAAGGGAAACGCUUGAAGUCAGUCGCGUCUGCCGGAACUCAGCCUUGCUUCUGCUUGGUGCACUUUCCGGUCCGACGGGCCAGCAUCGGUUUCGUGCGGCGGACACGGGUGGGAGGAAGGUGGCGGCCCUGGCCGCGUUAUAGCCUCCCAUCGCAAACGUCGCGUGGGACCGAGGAAUCCGGCGCAAGCCUGGGAUGCUGGCGUAAUGGCUUUAAACGACCCGUCUUGAAACACGGACCAAGGAGUGCUACGUGCUCGCGAGUGUUUGGGUGGAAAACCCAGGCGCGCAAUGAAAGUGAAAGUCGAUACCCCUUGCGGGGGCACCGACGCCCGAGCCUGAUGUUUUCGGACGGCCUUGCGGUAGAGCGAGUGCGUUGCGACCCGAAAGAUGGUGAACUAUUCCUGAGGAGGGCGAAGCCAGAGGAAACUCUGGUGGAGGCUCGUAGCGGUUCUGACGUGCAAAUCGAUCGCAGGACUUGGGUAUAGGGGC
rnacentral:rRNA from 1 species